rnacentral:lncRNA from 1 species
AAUGAGGGGCCGGCUCGCUCAAAGGGGCGGCCGAGGCGAGCUGAGGUAAACUGCGGCGAGCCGAGGUUAAACCAAGUUAAAUGGAAGCAAGCUAAGGAAAGCAAGCUAAGUACACUGAAGCACACCGAGGUCAUUUUCUCUCUGCUGUCCCACUUCAAAAGAUCGUUAUGGUCCUUGAUUGGCUGCCAGAAUCUGCAAAUGGACCAUCACAGCAAAAAUGGCCUGAAAAGAAGUCCAGAUUUAGCUUAAUAAUCUCCUGGGAAGGUAUGCCAAAAGAGAUCUGUGUAUUGAAAUGGCUUCUGUAUAGAAAAUUAAACAGUUUUGAGCCACUAGGUUAAUGGCUAUAUAAAUGAAAAUCUGGACCAAAACUGGGCCUUUUUGUUGGAGCCCAGUGUAAAAUCACAAAAUUUGACUGGAUGUUAGAUUUACAUUUUAUUUUUGUGUAUAAAAAUUUCCAAAUUGCUAGCAGAAUGUACAAACCAAAUAAAGAUCACUCACCCACC